rnacentral:rRNA from 1 species
GUGGGGAAUUUUGGACAAUGGGCGCAAGCCUGAUCCAGCAAUGCUGCGUGCAGGAAGAAGGCCUUCGGGUUGUAAACUGCUUUUGUACGGAACGAAAAGGCUCUGGUUAAUACCUGGGGCUCAUGACGGUACCGUAAGAAUAAGCACCGGCUAACUACGUGCCAGCAGCCGCGGUAAUACGUAGGGUGCAAGCGUUAAUCGGAAUUACUGGGCGUAAAGCGUGCGCAGGCGGUUUUGUAAGACAGACGUGAAAUCCCCGGGCUCAACCUGGGAAUGGCGUUUGUGACUGCAAAGCUGGAGUGCGGCAGAGGGGGAUGGAAUUCCGCGUGUAGCAGUGAAAUGCGUAGAUAUGCGGAGGAACACCGAUGGCGAAGGCAAUCCCCUGGGCCUGCACUGACGCUCAUGCACGAAAGCGUGGGGAGCAAACAGGAUUAGAAACCCGAGUAGUCC